rnacentral:ncRNA from 1 species
AGAGUCAUGCAGGAAGGAGUAGCGAACCAUCCUGACCCCGAGCCAUGUGAGGGCAGCCGUAAGGCUGCACUAGAAGCGUUGGGAAGGGGCACAUGUAGGCUGGGUAUCCCUGAAGUAGACGUCGAGGGCGAGGUCAGCGGCCAGCCAAUCAACAGAAGUUCUGUCGAACAGGCGUGCCAGAAGGCUCGGCGACUAUCUGGCAUCC